CUGCUACGAGGUUCUAGUAACUAUAUGGGAUUCAGAUUUCCUCCUUUCCCCUGACAGAUUAACUACCUGUCACAGGAAACCACUGUAACAGUGGGAGGUUGUUGUUUGAUUGAAUUGAGACAAAAUUUGUGUUCACAAAUCGCCGCAUUUGUGAUUUUUAAGUUUGCAGUUGAAUCUGCUGUUGAGGGAUUUGUCACUUUGAUUCUUGUCUCUAUAGUCUGCUAUGAAGUUCUAGUAACUAUAUGGGAUUUAGAUUUCCUCCUUUCCCCUGACAGAUAAGCUAUCUGUCACAGGAAACCACUGUAACAGUGGGAGGUUGUUGUUUGAAUGAAUUCAGACAAAAUCCGUGAUCACAAAUCGCCGCAUUUGUGAUUUUAAAGUCUGCAGUUGAAUCUGCUGUUUAAGGAUUUGUCACUUUGAUUCUUGUUCCUGUAAAUGAUUUUAUUGAACCAAUCUGCCUGAGCAGAUGGUGUAAAGUUCUAUGUUUGAGGGUGCAGACGCAGCCUGCUGUGAAAUGUUAACCCUUUGUUGUCAGUGGAGAGACUGACCUUUUGGCCUUAAGCAGAUAAGGCCCUUCAAGGAGGCAGAGCCUAAAGGCCCCUUCCUGCAUACUUUCCAACUUCACAGCCACAAGAGGCUAGUUGGAUGACUGUUUCCUCUUCUCUUCUUCUUCUCCACUUGUGUUGAGCUUGUGCAGUUCUCCCAACUCCAUACUGCCCCACAUGGUUGCUUUUGGUAUUGAGCUAACACUGCUAUUAUCUGCCUGCAGUAUCAGCCAGCUGUACUGCCUCUCUGUAGUCAGUGUGUAACACUCUACAGACAUAAUUCAAGUGAUUGACUUGGUUGAUGAAGUUUGAUGUGCUUAUUCUAAAU